AGAUAGAAAGUUACUUCGGUACAUCGGUGACAGGUGGUGCAUGGUUGUCGUCAGCUCGUGUCGUGAGAUGUUGGGUUAAGUCCCGCAACGAGCGCAACCCCUAUUGUUAGUUGCCAUCAUUCAGUUGGGCACUCUAGCGAGACUGCCGGUAAUAAACCGGAGGAAGGUGGGGAUGACGUCAAAUCAUCAUGCCCCUUAUGACCUGGGCUACACACGUGCUACAAUGGUUGGUACAACGAGUUGCGAGUCGGUGACGGCGAGCUAAUCUCUUAAAGCCAAUCUCAGUUCGGAUUGUAGGCUGCAACUCGCCUACAUGAAGUCGGAAUCGCUAGUAAUCGCGGAUCAGCACGCCGCGGUGAAUACGUUCCCGGGCCUU
rnacentral:rRNA from 1 species